GCUCAGAUUGAACGCUAGCGGGAUGCCUUACACAUGCAAGUCGAACGGCAGCACGGACUUCGGUCUGGUGGCGAGUGGCGAACGGGUGAGUAAUGUAUCGGAACGUGCCUAGUAGCGGGGGAUAACUACGCGAAAGCGUAGCUAAUACCGCAUACGCCCUACGGGGGAAAGCAGGGGAUCGUAAGACCUUGCACUAUUAGAGCGGCCGAUAUCGGAUUAGCUAGUUGGUGGGGUAAUGGCUCACCAAGGCGACGAUCCGUAGCUGGUUUGAGAGGACGACCAGCCACACUGGGACUGAGACACGGCCCAGACUCCUACGGGAGGCAGCAGUGGGGAAUUUUGGACAAUGGGGGAAACCCUGAUCCAGCCAUCCCGCGUGUGCGAUGAAGGCCUUCGGGUUGUAAAGCACUUUUGGCAGGAAAGAAACGCCGCGGGUUAAUACCCUGCGGAACUGACGGUACCUGCAGAAUAAGCACCGGCUAACUACGUGCCAGCAGCCGCGGUAAUACGUAGGGUGCAAGCGUUAAUCGGAAUUACUGGGCGUAAAGCGUGCGCAGGCGGUUCGGAAAGAAAGAUGUGAAAUCCCAGAGCUUAACUUUGGAACUGCAUUUUUAACUACCGAGCUAGAGUGUGUCAGAGGGAGGUGGAAAUUCCGCGUGUAG
rnacentral:rRNA from 1 species